rnacentral:lncRNA from 1 species
AUGAGCGGAUGUCUAGUCACUCCAGGUCAAAGUCCAGCAGCAGGCAUCUUUCCCAUGGUAUGCAGAGGGAGGUGUGACACAGAAGCACAGGAGAAAAACCAUUCAGAGACAGAAGCAGUGACUAGGGUUAGAUUGUCACAAGCAAAGGAACACCUGGGACCCGAAGAGCAGAAGUUUCUCCCCGGACCCUCUGAAUGGGCGGAAGGACUGCAGACCACUUACUUUUGUACGUCUUGCUUGCAGAACCGUGAGGAUACAUUUUUAUUGUCUUAAAUCAUCCAGUUUGUGGUCUAGUUGUAAUGGGGGCAGUGGAAUGGGCUCUUAGAUCCUGUUCUUUAAGGGUACAUUUGUAUUUCAUACUGUAAAGGAGUGUGCCCAUCCAUAUACAUCUCUGAUGGCUCAGCACAGACAUUUGCCAAUGAUUUGUUGUUGUUGUUGUUUUAAAGAUUUAUUUAUUAUAUGUAAGUAUACUGUAGCUGUCUUCAGACACCCCAGAAGAGGGCAUCAGAUCUCAUUACAGAUGGUUGUGAGCCACCAUGUGGUUGCUGGAAUUUGAACUCAGGACCUUUGGAAGAGCAGUCAGUGCUCUUAACCGCUGAGCCAUUCUCCAGCCCGAUUUGUUUGUUCUAAGUUAACCUUUGACUUAGCAAUUCAAGAGUUAUGCAAAGCUCAGUGGCCUUGGGAAAAUGUAAACCCCCGCUGCACACAAAGAGAGACAGUAAUAAGGGAGACCUGUGGGGACCACAAGUAGAUAAGAAGGUCAGAGCCUCAGAGCUCAGAGCCAGUUAACCCUGUGACCAAAGGAUAAAGACUAUACUGUAGAACUGAUUUUGCUAUUUCCUAUAAAGUCUGUUGGCUGGAGAUGUGGGGGUGGCAGGUCCAGAGGAUGCUGAGCCCUUCCUGUCUCAAUGGCCAGUUCUCUGAAUGAGUCAGAGCUUAAAGAUUCCAUUCCUGCCUCUGCCCAUGGUGCUGAUUGGCAGCAUGGACUUGUAUUCUGGUUAUAUUUGUUAUGACAGCCCCAGGAAGACACUGCAGAAAUCCCCCUGCCCUUUCCCAGGUCUUCUGAGCUCUUCAGUCUUCUGUGUGCUUCAAUGAGGCCAGAGCAGGCG